rnacentral:rRNA from 1 species
CACCGCCCGUCACACCAUGGAGUUUACUGCACCAGAAGCAGGUAGCCUAACCGCAAGGAUGGCGCCUACCACGGUGUGGUCGAUGACUGGGGUG